rnacentral:rRNA from 1 species
GAUGAACGCUGGCGGCGUGCCUAAUACAUGCAAGUCGAGCGAACGGACGAGAAGCUUGCUUCUCUGAUGUUAGCGGCGGACGGGUGAGUAACACGUGGAUAACCUACCUAUAAGACUGGGAUAACUUCGGGAAACCGGAGCUAAUACCGGAUAAUAUUUUGAACCGCAUGGUUCAAAAGUGAAAGACGGUCUUGCUGUCACUUAUAGAUGGAUCCGCGCUGCAUUAGCUAGUUGGUAAGGUAACGGCCUACCAAGGCAACGAUGCAUAGCCGACCUGAGAGGGUGAUCGGCCACACUGGAACUGAGACACGGUCCAGACUCCUACGGGAGGCAGCAGUAGGGAAUCUUCCGCAAUGGGCGAAAGACUGACGGAGCAACGCCGCGUGAGUGAUGAAGGUCUUCGGAUCGUAAAACUCUGUUAUUAGGGAAGAACAUAUGUGUAAGUAACUGUGCACAUCUUGACGGUACCUAAUCAGAAAGCCACGGCUAACUACGUG